UACAAAUCUAACUUUUUGAUAGAUGGUUUUGAAAUAUAUUUUGUGCCAUUUCUUCAGUGAUGAAUAAAGAUUUGGGCUUCUAUAUGAGCAUUAGUUUAGAACAGAAUUAAUGUAAGAUUCAAAAUCCUAGAAAUGGAUUAUCAAUGACCACAUGCACCAUUUUGUUGUGGUUAUGUUCAAGUGUAAGUAUCUCAAAUGUGCUUUUUUCUUGAUAAAAUUGUAGCUGUUUAAUAUGCAGUAUUUUAAUUGAAAAUGCUCUAUAUUUUGGUGUACUUACAAAUUGUAUAUUUAGUUUCUUUCUCCAUUUAUCUACUUUUACCUGGCAGGAGGAUGGAUCUGGUUGCAGAGGUGUAAGGGUUGGCAAGUGAACAAAGGCUGGCAUAUAUUGAGGUGUCUGUGAAUGUUCCGUGGCAGUGAGAGCUGGAAACCAGUUUUUGCUUCAAAGGUCCAAGAUCACAUCAUGAGUGAGAGAUUGGCAGGAUGGUUAUCUACUCUGCAAAUCCUAGAUUACAGCUGACCGUAAGAGGGUAUGAUCAUUCACUGGUGUCCAUCUGCAGUAGUCUGAAGGAUGUAAAAUACCUGUAAUAUUGUUUGGCCAUCUUGAUAGCCUUUUUAUCAAGGAAACGAAACCAACAUUGAACUUCAGGUCAGUUUAUGUAUGGAGAUACAAGGAAAACUGACUGCCAUUGUUCGCAAUGAAGAAAAUUAGUUUAUGGAAUUCAUAUAGAUGCCAUUAAACUAAUUUCUUCUUAAUCAAUAGCAUUCCAGUUGUUAGAGAUUAAAGUUUAGGUUUGCCUAUGCAGUUGAAGCCCUGUAAUAAAUUUAUGCUGUGAA